AUUGAACGCUGGCGGCAGGCUUAACACAUGCAAGUCGAGCGGAGUGAUGGUGCUUGCACUAUCACUUAGCGGCGGACGGGUGAGUAAUGCUUAGGAAUCUGCCUAUUAGUGGGGGACAACAUCUCGAAAGGGAUGCUAAUACCGCAUACGUCCUACGGGAGAAAGCAGGGGAUCACUUGUGACCUUGCGCUAAUAGAUGAGCCUAAGUCGGAUUAGCUAGUUGGUGGGGUAAAGGCCUACCAAGGCGACGAUCUGUAGCGGGUCUGAGAGGAUGAUCCGCCACACUGGGACUGAGACACGGCCCAGACUCCUACGGGAGGCAGCAGUGGGGAAUAUUGGACAAUGGGGGGAAUCCUGAUCCAGCCAUGCCGCGUGUGUGAAGAGGGCCUUAUGGUUGUAAAGCACUUUAAGCGAGGAGGAGGCUCUUUUGGUUAAUACCCAAGAUGAGUGGACGUUACUCGCAGAAUAAGCACCGGCUAACUCUGUGCCAGCCGCCGCCGUAAUAC
rnacentral:rRNA from 1 species